GCUUCACCCACUCUGGCCCCCCUAUCAGUGGCCCCCUCCUAGUCUUGCCUCCCAAUUCUCUCCCGUUUUGACUAGCCUGGUUCCUCAGGUGACAUUAACCGCUUCUUACCCCCUCAGAGGUACAGGGCCUGGAGACCAGAGCCCUAAAGAGAUGAACCCACGUCCCCUCCCACGGGGUCUCUGUCUGGCUCACGAUCCAAAUGGGAAUAGCUAUGGGGAGAAACAUGAUUUUGGGGACACUCUGAGCUCGCUGGCUCUCCUUCUUCUAGGUUCUUAGCUGCAAAGGGCCCAGGUGCCUAUGUCUUUCUGGGAGAACCAGAGAAGAUUUGGAUUACCUGGGGGUCUUGAACUGGGCCUUUAUCUUGGCGUGUUCUGAGCAGCUGUUUGUAUUCAUAACAGGUGCUGUCAGUCGUGACCUGACCUGAGCCAAACUGGUUCCUGUGCAACUCAGGUCCCUUUUGAUAGGUCAAGGUUGGGGUAAUCUGACAUGUUUUCACCCAAGCUUACUGUCGGAUGAAUGAAAGCCAUUUGUCCACCUGCACAGACUUCUAUUAGACAAACAUGCCAGGGCAAGCAGACCCUAAGCAGUUGCAACUCCUGUGUACUCUGAGGUCAACCUAACUCCCGCUCUGGGUUGUAUUGGGUGUCCUGACCGCCAUUUUGCAGACUGCCAAGAUUCCAGAUGCUGGGUCCUGUUAGCUUUCCUGCUGGCCUCAGGCGACCAGGAAUCUUUAUUGGGAGUGACCGGCCACAGAGCAGUUUCUGGAUCAAGCUAUGGUUCCAUCCCUAAGGAGCUGCGGGUGCUUGGAGACGAAGAAGAAAAGCGAACAUUGGAACUGUAACAAAAUUCGUCUUGUGACUUUGAGUAAGACAUUUACCUUGUUAAGCCUCAGUUUUCCCACAGAUUUAACAACUUGAUUUCAUGA